CAGCAGCCGCGGUAAUACGUAGGUGGCGAGCGUUGUCCGGAAUUAUUGGGCGUAAAGGGAGCGCAGGCGGACAUAUAAGUCCAUCUUAAAAGUGCGGGGCUCAACCCCGUGAGGGGAUGGAAACUGUAUGCCUUGAGUGCAGGAGAGGAAAGCGGAAUUCCCAGUGUAGCGGUGAAAUGCGUAGAUAUUGGGAGGAACACCAGUGGCGAAGGCGGCUUUCUGGACUGCAACUGACACUGAGGCUCGAAAGCCAGGGGAGCGAACGGGAUUAGAUACCCCCGUAGUCCCUGUCUCUUAUACA
rnacentral:rRNA from 1 species